GAUUUUUUAGUAGAAUAGCUUAAUUUUGUUAUUAAAUAAGAGAACAAAUUUUCAAACAAUAAGACAAAUAUAGAAAAGUACACAAAAAAUGAAAUAUUCCCCAAUCCUAAUUAAAAGAAACCCAACCAAAAUAAAUGAGUUCUAAAGUUCCUUUCGAAGCAUAGAAAGCAAUGAAAAUAGCAGUUUGUCUGAAUCAUCAUCGUCCCUUAAGAUUAAGCAGAUUUUAGGGACUAUCUUCAAGCAACCAACGAAAUCACAGUAUAAUCUAGCACGUCUGUCAACCAUCGGUCUCUCUGCACUGCAUCAGUAACAAACAGAGGCAUUUCUUCUAACUAAUAAGUUGUUUCUCCUCUCCUUAUUCCUUCUGUAGCUAAGAGAUGUGCUACUCCGUUCCCCUGUCUCGGUGCAUGUCUGAAAAUACAUCUUCGAUAAUUCUCAUUAAGUGAUCUCAAAUCCAUAGUAUAUAUGCACUAAAUUCAUAUCUCUUACCCAUUUGCAUGAAGCUUUUUCACCACUUUGAGUGCAUCACCUUCAAUCUCCACCUUCGGGAAACCCAAAUCAAGACCCAUUUGAACUGCUUGGAAGCAUGCAAGAGCCUCACAGCAAAAGUCGCAGGUAUGUGAUUAUUUAGUAUCAUUCUGGAUCCUAACACCAAACCAUUCAAGUUUUUAACCACAAUAUCCGUACAUGACCUAUUUGUAUGGUUUUAAAAAGUAACAUCAUAAUUAAUCUUUGCAAAAAGAAUCUCUGACGGCCUCUAUUGUUCAGUCUCCACCCUCCUAACAAGUAAUUUUUGGUUGAUUGCAUCUAAUUCUCGAAUAUAAGAAAUGAUCAAAUGGGUUGUGUCUUGAAUUGUUCGUCUGUUCCAUUCAUGAAUUGCUUUAUUUCUUGUUGUCCAUAUUGCCCAAAUUGCACAAGCCAUAAUCUUGCAAUGGUAAUUUAAAUGAUUCGAAAAAAUAUAUGCCAAUACUCUUUAUAUUCUAAGUUUGAGACUUCAUAGGGCCAUUCAAUAUUUAACUCAUUGUCAUAACCUAAAGUAGGGCUUAAAAAUUUUAAGAGUAUUUUAGGAAUUUUAGCCUAUAUGAGUUCGAAAUUUCAUUAGGGUGGUACUCGAUAAUUUUUUUAACAAUGGUUUUCAUAAAGUUAAGUCAAUUUUUGGAAAUGAGUUUUAAAUAUUUUUAAUUUUAGAAAAGGGACUGAUUUGUAAAAGGGUUAAAGUUGUGAGUCUUUAUGAAGAAUUAAACCAAUUUUUCAAAAUCAACCUAAAUAAACCCCCAUUCCCAGUCAAUUUCACGAAUGCUUCUUCCCAUCUCUUUAGUGUUGUCGUCGUUUGCUAUUCCUCACUCUCUCAAUUUGACUAUUAAACUAUAAUACUUUGAAUUCCUAUCAUUUCCAAGUAUUAAACCUUUACAAAUCUUCAAGAAAUUACCCGAAAAUCUCACCAAUUUCAUCAUUUUCCUCAAGUGUGAAUUUUCUUGAAUUUACAUCAAAUCUCCAUUUUUCUUCUCUCGAAGGUAACCAAUCAUCUACCCAUUAGUUUUAAAUGUUAUUUAGUUCUUUAAACUUAAUUUUUAGCCGUUAAAUCGCAUGUUUUUUAUUAAAAGCCGAAAAUCAAGUCUUUAAUGGUGAAUUUCAAGUUUGUGGAUAAAAAUUGGUUUUAAAGUGUUUUUGAAUUAGUUUUAAUAUGAUUAGAAGCUUUCUAAAGUAAUUUGAAGUUUCGUCAAGGAUUUCUCAGAUUUUAAUGAAUUUUCAUUGUAAUGGCCAAAACUUGUCGAAAAAUUUAAAUACCUUAAAACUCAUAAUUUUGUAUAGUUUAAAGGUUGGGAAUUGGUCGUAGAUGAAUAUGUAGAUGAGUAGAAUUUAUUUUUUGCGAAAAGAUUAAGUGUAGACUGAGUUAUUCAAAUUUUAAGUUUAUCGUGCUAAAGGCUUUGGUUAGAAAAGAAUGUAGCUUAGACUUGUGUUUGUGGUUGUUUGAGGUGAGUUAUUGACUGAUUGUUGACUGAAUAUAUGUGUGGUUUGUCUUGUUGAAGUGUCAGAGUCAAUAGGACUUUCAACGAGUAGAGAUAAAGGCAAAAGGGAAGCAUGUCUAAGCUUUUAGUUUUUCAGCAAAAGCGAAUAUUUCGGUGAGUGUUUUAGAAUCGCUGCUCGUAUAUGAUUCAUUGUGUAUUCGGGAAUUUAGAGGUAGCCUAAACCCCUUCUCUAAGUUCCAAGUGUAAGUGUUCUUUUACCUAUGCUAAAUAUGUGAUAAAUGUCUACGAACUGUGAUAAAAAGAAUUAUGAUGUGAUGAAAUAUGAACAUGUUGUUAUUACUGUUGUGACAGUAAAUAUAAGGGUAUGUCAUUUAUGUCAUGUGAUAGUGUGUAUAAUAUGCUCUUGAUAUGAUUGUGCGGUGAAUAUGUGAGGAUAAUUG
rnacentral:lncRNA from 1 species